GGAAUUGACGGGGGCCCGGCACAAGCGGUGGAGCAUGUGGUUUAAUUCGACGCAACGCGAAGAACCUUACCGGGCUUGACAUCCCCUGACCGCGUAUGAAAGUACGUUUUCACCCUCGGGUGACAGGGAGACAGGUGGUGCAUGGUUGUCGUCAGCUCGUGUCGUGAGAUGUUGGGUUAAGUCCCGCAACGAGCGCAACCCCUACGUUUAGUUGCUAACGCGUGAAGGCGAGCACUCUAGACGAACUGCCGUUGACAAAACGGAGGAAGGUGGGGAUGACGUCAAAUCAUCAUGCCCCUUAUGUUCUGGGCUACACACGUGCUACAAUGGCCGGUACAGACGGACGCAAAGCCGCGAGGUGGAGCAAAUCCUAAAAAGCCGGUCUCAGUUCGGAUUGCAGGCUGCAAUUCGCCUGCAUGAAGUCGGAAUCGCUAGUAAUCGCAGGUCAGCAUACUGCGGUGAAUACGUUCCCGGGCCUU
rnacentral:rRNA from 1 species